UUUGAGAGAGAGUUCAAGAGUACGUGAAACUGCUCAGAGGCAAACGGGUGGGCCCUCGAAAUCCUCUUGCGGAGAGAUUCAGUCUGGAGCGGCUGGGGCGGACGCGGGUAACGGACCCUCGAAAAGGACGGGUCCCGCGACGCAGUCCCUUCCGCGCCGGACGCAUUUCUCCCCGCACUCGGGACGCCGCAACGGAUCGGGUAGCUGCGAGAGUCGGCCUUGAGGCGGUCCCAGGCAGGUGGCCGGGCGUUGGGCCUCGUUGCCCUCCGCCCGGUUAUUCACGGGACCGUUCGUGGCGCGACACCCGAUCGAGGUCAACGUUCCCCCUACGGGGAACCCUCCGUCUCCGUCUUCGGGCGCGGUGCCAGUGCCAGUGAGCGCCGGCGAUGCCGAACCACUCUCAGCAGUGGCCGGCGCGACGGUCGCCGCCGUUGGGCCACUGGUCGACCGCUGGAGACUCCGGAACGGUUAGCGGCGAGUAGGUCGGUCACCCACCCGACCCGUCUUGAAACACGGACCAAGGAGUCUAACAUGUGCGCGAGUCGCAGGGUCUUGAACAGGCCCUCGGGCGCAAUGAAAGUGAAGGUCCUCGGACCGAGUUGGGACUCCCUCCCUCGCGGGGGGGG
rnacentral:rRNA from 1 species